rnacentral:rRNA from 1 species
AGCAGCCGCGGUAAUUCCAGCUCCAAUAGCGUAUAUUAAAGUUGUUGCAGUUAAAAAGCUCGUAGUUGAAUUUCGGGAUUAGUAAGUUGGUCGUGCCUCUGGUAUGUACUGGCUUUACUGGUUCCUCCUUCUUGAAGAACUGUAAUGUCAUUAAUUUGGUGUUGCAGGGAAACAGGACUGUUACUUUGAAAAAAUUAGAGUGUUUAAAGCAGGCUAACGCUUGAAUACAUUAGCAUGGAAUAAUGAAAUAGGACGUUUGAUCCUAUUUUGUUGGUUUCUAGGAUUGACGUAAUGAUUAAUAGGGAUAGUUGGGGGCAUUAGUAUUCAAUUGUCAGAGGUGAAAUUCUUGGAUUUAUUGAAGACUAACUACUGCGAAAGCAUUUGCCAAGGAUGUUUUCAUUAAUCAAGAACGAAAGUUAGGGGAUCGAAGACGAUCAGAUACCGUCGUAGUCUUAACCAUAAACUAUGCCGACUAGGGAUCGGAUGAUGUUAAUUUUUUAAUGACUCAUUCGGCGCCUUACG